CGACCUUGAAAUACCACCCUUUAAUGUUUGAUGUUCUAACGUGGACCCGUGAUCCGGGUUGCGGACAGUGUCUGGUGGGUAGUUUGACUGGGGCGGUCUCCUCCUAAAGAGUAACGGAGGAGCACGAAGGUUGGCUAAUCCUGGUCGGACAUCAGGAGGUUAGUGCAAUGGCAUAAGCCAGCUUGACUGCGAGCGUGACGGCGCGAGCAGGUGCGAAAGCAGGUCAUAGUGAUCCGGUGGUUCUGAAUGGAAGGGCCAUCGCUCAACGGAUAAAAGGUACUCCGGGGAUAACAGGCUGAUACCGCCCAAGAGUUCAUAUCGACGGCGGUGUUUGGCACCUCGAUGUCGGCUCAUCACAUCCUGGGGCUGAAGUAGGUCCCAAGGGUAUGGCUGUUCGCCAUUUAAAGUGGUACGCGAGCUGGGUUUAGAACGUCGUGAGACAGUUC
rnacentral:rRNA from 1 species